GCCGUCCGCGGAAAUUUGAAAUGGCUGACGGGUCGCUGACGGGCGGCGGUCUGGAGGCAGCGGCCAUGGCGCCGGAGCGCAUGGGCUGGGCGGUGGAGCAGGAGCUGGCGUCUCUGGAGAAAGGUUUGUUCCAAGAUGAAGAUUCAUGCAGUGAUUGUAGCUACCGUGAUAAACCAGGUUCUAGUUUACAAAGUUUUAUGCCAGAAGGAAAAACCUUUUUCCCAGAAAUUUUCCAAACAAAUCAACUUUUGUUCUAUGAGCGAUUCAGAGCCUAUCAAGAUUACAUUUUAGCUGACUGCAAGGCCUCUGAGGUACAGGAAUUCACAGCUGAGUUCUUGGAGAAGGUCCUUGAGCCAUCUGGAUGGCGGGCAGUCUGGCACACUAAUGUGUUCAAGGUGCUGGUUGAGAUCACAGAUGUGGACUUUGCAGCCUUGAAGGCAGUGGUGAGGCUUGCUGAACCAUACCUCUGUGACUCUCAAGUGAGCACUUUUACCAUGGAGUGCAUGAAGGAGCUCCUUGAUCUGAAGGAGCAUCGGUUGCCCCUGCAGGAGCUGUGGGUGGUGUUUGAUGAUUCAGGAGUGUUUGACCAGACAGCCCUUGCAAUUGAGCAUGUCAGAUUUUUCUACCAAAACAUUUGGAGGAGUUGGGAUGAAGAAGAGGAGGAUGAAUACGAUUAUUUUGUCAGAUGUGUUGAACCUCGAUUAAGAUUGCAUUAUGACAUUCUUGAAGACCGAGUUCCAUCAGGACUUAUUGUUGACUACCACAAUCUGUUGUCUCAAUGUGAGGAGAGUUACAGGAAAUUUUUAAAUCUGAGAAGCAGUUUGUCAAAUUGUAACUCUGAUUCCGAGCAGGAAAAUAUCUCCAUGGUGGAAGGGUUAAAAUUGUAUUCGGAGAUGGAACAGUUGAAACAAAAGCUGAAACUCAUUGAGAAUCCUUUGUUGAGGUAUGUGUUUGGUUAUCAGAAGAAUUCUAACAUCCAAGCAAAGGGUGUCCGUUCCAGCGGUCAGAAGAUCACUCAUGUGGUCUCCUCCACCAUGAUGGCUGGUCUCCUGCGGUCCCUGCUUACGGACAGGCUUUGCCAGGAGCCUGGUGAGGAAGAAAGAGAAAUUCAGUUCCAUAGUGAUCCAUUGUCUGCUAUAAAUGCCUGCUUCGAAGGUGACACUGUUAUUGUUUGUCCUGGCCAUUAUGUGGUACAUGGCACUUUCUCCAUUGCUGACUCCAUUGAGUUGGAAGGAUAUGGCCUACCAGAUGACAUUGUGAUAGAAAAGAGGGGCAAAGGCGACACUUUUGUGGACUGCACUGGUGCUGAUAUUAAAAUCUCAGGCAUAAAAUUUGUUCAGCAUGAUGCUGUAGAGGGAAUCUUAAUUGUUCACCGUGGUAAGACUACGCUGGAAAACUGUGUGCUGCAGUGUGAGACGACCGGAGUCACAGUGCGGACAUCAGCAGAGUUUCUAAUGAAGAACUCGGAUUUAUAUGGCGCCAAGCCCUUGAACAAUACUGUGUGUCUUUCAUCUGACGUCCAUGGUUUCUGAUGCUGUCAAUCACAUUUUCUCUCCUAUAGGGUGCUGGUAUAGAAAUCUACCCUGGGAGUCAGUGCACCCUGAGUGACAAUGGGAUCCAUCACUGCAAGGAAGGGAUCCUCAUUAAGGACUUCUUAGAUGAACAUUAUGACAUUCCCAAGAUAUCCAUGGUGAAUAAUAUAAUACAUAAUAAUGAAGGUUAUGGUGUUGUCUUGGUGAAACCUACAAUCUUCUCUGACCUGCAAGAAAAUGCUGAAGAUGGAACUGAAGAAAAUAAAGCGCUUAAAAUUCAGACAAGUGGAGAGCCAGAUGUGGCUGAAAGAGUGGAUCUAGAAGAGCUGAUUGAGUGUGCAACUGGUAAAAUGGAGCUUUGUGCAAGAACUGACCCUUCUGAGCAAGUCGAGGGAAAUUGUGAAAUUGUAAAUGAACUAAUUGCUGCCUCCACACAGAAAGGCCAGAUAAAGAAGAAAAGGUUGAGUGAACUGGGGAUCACGCAAGCUGAUGACAACUUAAUGUCACAGGAGAUGUUUGUUGGGAUUGUGGGGAACCAGUUCAAGUGGAAUGGGAAAGGUAGUUUUGGCACAUUUCUUUUCUGACUACAGUGAUGUAAGUAGAUAGCAAAAUACUGGAUUUUGCACAUGCUGCCCUAAGAAUCACUGCUGCCAUUGUAGUUUGCUGUAUUGUCUGUAUUUUAUAUUUGAUUAUUUGGGCUUGAGUGAAAGGUAGAUUUAUUUCCAUUUGCAGGUGUUGCACAUAAAACACUCCCUCUUUAUAAGAAAAAUCAUAAAUGCAUAUAAAAUAGAAAAUAUUUGGAGAUUGCUUAUCUGAAAGUCUUGCUUUCUUAUACACAUGGUUCUCUCAUAUUAAGCCUGGUAGUAACUUUUUAGUGUAAUUACCUUUAGCACUUCAAAGACGAGGAAGUAAGGAAGGGAAUGCAAGACUAGUGCAUAAAAAUGCAAUAGGUGUCAUAUGUACAGCAUUCUUCUUAGAGUUGCCUUUUCAUCCCAAUUACAGUGAGUCUGAUUUCCAUCCUGUAUUUGCAUAAUACUUGUCUUAAAAUAAAAGCUUUUAUGAUUGGGAAUUUAUCUGCCUAAUCAGACUUAUUAUUGAGACGUCAAUGGGACGCAUUUUUCUGUUGAGCUAUGCAGUCGUCAAAACAGCGAUAGACAGCAUAGGAGGUUUGAAGCAGAAAUGAAAUGUGUUAUUCAGAGCCAAUGUUGUACAUAGAGCAUUUUCACUAUUGCUGAAUGGGAAUGAUUAAAAACAAGGUAUUUUUCGGGCCAGGCGGUGGCUCACGCUUGUAAUCGCAGCACUUUGGGAGGCUGAGGCAGGAGGAUCACUUGAGCCCAGGAGUUCAAGACUAGCCUAGGCAACAUAGUGAGACCCUGUCUCUACUAAAAAUAAAUUUAAAAAAAAUUAGCUGAGUGUGGUGGUGCAUGCAUGUAGUUCCAGCUACUCAGGAGGCUGAGGCUAGAGGAUCCUUGAGCCCAGGAGGUUGAGGCUGCAGUGAGGUGUGAUUGCGCCACUGCAUUCCAGCUUGGGCGACAGAGCGAGACCCAGUCUCAAAAAAAAAAAAAAGUAUUUUUCUCUUACCGUUACAGUAUUCUGAUUAUAUUACUGACACAGUCAAAAUGAUUAACUGUACAACCUGUAUCUGCUGGGUGUUCUUGUUAUCAUAUUGUAAAACAGCUUUAAAAAUAUUUAUAUUUUAAAAACUGUAUGUGACAUUAAUAUGCCUAAUGAUUAAAAUUAUAGUGAUGAAAUAACAAAAUUGAAUCUUGUUAUAUCUUUUCAAACUCACUGUGGGCCAUAGUGUCAGUGUAGCAUAUGUGGUCAUUUAAGAAUACAUGGUAUUUUGGUAUCUGUUUUCAUGCUUUAGAAAGAGUAUUACAUUUUUUCCCAUUAAGUGUGGUUAUGUUUGUUUUUUAAAUUUGAGUAAAAAAUAAUUCUUAUUUUUUGGAUGCUACUAAAUGUAGGAUUUAUGUUAGAUUUAUUAUUUGAUCAUUGAAAGGUAUUUUUACUUUUAAAAAAUCUUGUUGCAAGGAGGUUUAAAAAGUAAUGUUCAUUUCUGCAUCAGUUUCAGCCAAAUGUUGAUAUUAAAACCUUUUAUUCUUUUUUUUAAUUUUUGCCUCUAGAUGUGAUGCCUUAAGAUAAAAACCAUUUAUUCAACUUAAAAAAAAAUCACUUUUUUUUUUUUUUUGAGAUGGAGUCUUGCUCUGUCACCCAGGCUGGAGUGCAGUGGCACUAUCUCGGCUUACUGUAACCUCCACCUCCUGAAUUCAAGCAAUUCUCCUGCCUCAGUCGCCUGAGUAGCUGGGAUUAUAGGUGCCCGCCACCAUGCCCAGCUAAUUUUUUUUUUGUAUUUAUUUUAUUUUUAUUUUAUUUUGUUUUGUUUUUGAGAUGGAGCUUCACUUUGUCACCCAGGCUGGAGUGCAGUGGCAUGAUCUCGGCUCAUUGCAACCUCAGUCUCCUGGGUUCAAGUGAUUCUCAUGCCUCAGCCUCCCAAGUAGCUGGUAUGACAGCCACCAUGCCUGGCUAAUUUUUGUAUUUUUAGUAGAGACAGGGUUUAACCAUGUUGGCCAGGCUGGUCUCAAACUCCUGACCUCAAGUGAUCCACCCACCUUGGCCUCCCAAAGUGCUGGGAUUACAGGCAUGAGCCACGUGCCUGGCCUUUUUUUUGUAUUUUUAGUAGAUAUGGGGUUUCACCAUGUUGCCCAGGCUGUUCUCAAACUCCUGACCUCAAGUGAUCCACCCACCUCAGCCUCCCAAAUCACAUUGAUUUUUCAAUUGAAUUUCUACUUUAUCUUGGUUUAGAUUUUGUAGAUAAGUUAGUAACAUUUAUACCUUCCUUGUUUCUUUUUAUAACAUGGAGUUUUUCAGAUUUCAUGUCUAUUUUAGCUUAAAUCUAAGCUUAUAUUAAUUUUUAUUCACAUGAUUCAUUAUAAUGAGUAGGCCUACUUUGUUCUUAUUUAAGUUAUAUGCAGUACAUUUUGCCUCAAUCAUGGAGAGUUAAACAUCUCAAAUGGUAUAGCAUAGGGAAUUUAGGGAGUGCCCUAGAGGGGUAUGGGUUUGAUAUUUGAGAUGAAAACACUGAUGUGGAGAAAGGAUAGCCUUCUGUGUUGACUAAUUGUGUGUCCUGUCCUUAUGGUCCACUCUUAGUGUGACCUUGAAUUUAUGGCAGGUAGCAAAAUUCUAUUUUGCUGAUUUGAGUAUUUUAUUUUAGCUUCUUUAGAUGUAUUUCCCUUCUUCAGUUUCUUGUUGUAUUAUUGCACCAUAGAUAUUAACACGAAUAUAUUUUUAAAAACUGCCCAGAGAUCAUUUGAUCUCAAGUGUAUAUACACUUCACUUUUCUGGAGUUACAGAAGGAUGGUGAAAUAAUCAUUUUCUGGAUUUUGCUUUUCAGAGGGAGAUUGAAGAAAGUUCAAUAGAACACUGAUGAGCUCAUAAGAACCGUGUCGUUCAUGUUUCUUUGUAAUUCAGUUUGCUGUUUUUAUUCUUAUUCCUUUCUAGGAAGUACAUUCCACAGGCUUCUAUGGAAAUUAAGUUGAAAUAAAUUUUGAUAAUUGGCCUUUGAUGCAAAAUUUAUGCAUAGCAUUUAAUUUUAUAACAUUUUGUUUUAUUCUGUGAUUAAAUAUAUAUAUGUAUAUGUUUUAAAGUCUUAUAUGUGGUGAACAUUCUCCUCUUUUUUUAGUUCUCACUAUUAAUAGAAAAAAAUAUAUAUUUUAAAAACAAAA